GACGAACGCUGGCGGCGUGCUUAACACAUGCAAGUCGAACGGAUAGGCCCUGCUUGCAGGGUACUCGAGUGGCGAACGGGUGAGUAACACGUGGGUGAUCUGCCCUGCACUUCGGGAUAAGCCUGGGAAACUGGGUCUAAUACCGGAUAGGAGCCAUUUUUAGUGUGAUGGUUGGAAAGUUUUUUCGGUGUAGGAUGAGCUCGCGGCCUAUCAGCUUGUUGGUGGGGUAAUGGCCUACCAAGGCGGCGACGGGUAGCCGGCCUGAGAGGGUGGACGGCCACAUUGGGACUGAGAUACGGCCCAGACUCCUACGGGAGGCAGCAGUGGGGAAUAUUGCACAAUGGGCGCAAGCCUGAUGCAGCGACGCCGCGUGGGGGAUGACGGCCUUCGGGUUGUAAACUCCUUUCGCUAGGGACGAAGCUUUUGUGACGGUACCUAGAUAAGAAGCACCGGCUAACUACGU
rnacentral:rRNA from 1 species